GUCAGGUUGUGGUGAAAGGAGCACCCUUCUCCAGGCCCCUUCCGUGGGGCAUGGUGGGCUGACCUGUCCCCUCCUUCCUCCUCAGUGCCAGGAAGUCUUUGGGAGAGAGGUGCCUGUGGGACAUCUGCGCGGAGAGCAGAGUUAACUCUGGAUAUGCAACCAGGAGGGUGAGGAUCUAGUCCGGAGAUACUGACUGGUAAGAAAAAAGCUAUGGGUGAAGAGGCCCAGGAAGAGGCGGUCCCGCUACGCAGCAGCACCAUAGCCCUUUUAAGAAGCGCGGAAACCGCCCCCCCUUCCCACCCCAAUGUUUAAUAUACCGAAG